rnacentral:tRNA from 1 species
GGGCGUAGCUCAGGGGCAGAGCAUUUGCUUCCCAAGCAAAGGGCCGUGGGUUCGAAUCCCAUCGCCC